UGUCAGCUGACCCAAGAUGGCGGCACCUGCCUUGACAAUUUGUGUUGGCGCCUGAGCGGCUUCCCAGAUACCCACAUGGCUCACUUUCUCACCUGCCACUGCGCUCAGGAGUAUGGGGAAUCUGAAGGCAUCUGCGUCACUGUCUCUGGGCACAAGGGAAGGGGCAACAGAUGUGCGUGGCAGGAAAGUAAACUCUGGGAUCUGCUUAUGCCAGAUCUUGCUCCCAACAGAUUCUUCUUGCUACUGCCGGAGUGAGCCACCUGAGUGCCAGUCUACCCUUGCCAAGACAUCCUUUAAGAGCCUCUUCACCCCAGCAGCAUUUUGAGAAGUGUAUUCCAUGAAAUGCUAAAAAUGGUUUGAGAAUAAAUGAGCUCCAUGGUCUAAUAA